AGCAAAUUAUUUGAAAAAUGCGACAUACUGUUAGACCGCUUCUAAAACUACAUGGUGAUCCUCCAGUGACCUGUGCUAUACAGUACCACCACUGCUAGAAUUUACUGAAUUGGGCAGAUGGAUCCAAGGCCUGUGGCUAUCCAUUUCUGAAGACUCACUCUAGCUGCAGACAUUGAACAUAAAGUUUCAAAUAGAACAUCUGCUGCAGUUGCCUCAGUGGGCACAAUGGAAAAACAAUCUCCUGGAGUGCUUCUUGUAGAAUGCUGGCUCAGUGGAUCUCACCAGGAUUUUCUGGAGACAGAGCUUUAAACUAAAGGAAUUCAAAAAGAGGAAAUUGAAAGAACCUAAGCAGUUUGAUGGAGGGAUGAGGUUGCUUGAAGAGGCUUUGUGCUACCCUAUGAAGAAAAACUGACCCUCUUCUACAUAUAAUAAUGUGCAAUAUGCAAUAUGGAGAAAACAAAGCAGAGCCACUGUCAUGUGUUUUUCUUUUUCCAGCCUAGAUUGAUGUAAUAUGGAGGUUCCUUUUUGUGUUGUCAUACAUUUUCUGUCCACGUAAUUUUAAAUUCAAUAACAUUGUUUUUUCUUAGUGGAAACUAAUGUCUAUACAUCUAUUUAACCAAAAAACAUAAAAUACUUAAACAUUUCCUCCAAGGAGUAAUGUAAGUGCCACUGGUAAGAUAAGAUAGAUGAGAAAAAGAAAAUAAAGUGAUAAUUACUCUGCUAUUUAAUGGACUAUAGUGUUUUUGAAAUAUCUUUGUGUAAAAUUGUUUUUUUUUUUUGUAAUCACUAUUGAAUCCCAAAAAAGCCUCUUUCUUACCCUCAAUUUUAUAUUUUCUUGCAAUAUGAGUCAUUGAUAACACAUUCUGGUGCUAUCCAAAUAAAUGCUUUAUCAGUA